GUAGAUUUCCAGGGAAUGGGAUACCAAGGAGGAGAUGACGAAUUUUUUGACCUUGAUGACUACUAGGUAGUCGACAUGGGUCCGGCAAAACGUGCCUCACCCUCCAGCAUUCAACCCAAGGAGCAUACCCGUGGUGGAGUCCAAACAGAUCCCUGCCUUACAAUUGGAACAUUUCCAGAACUUAAUCCGUGAGCAUUGGAUACUGAAAAGAAAAGCGAAACAAAACCAGACCCAACCCUACACUUUGGUUUGUCGUGGUGUCAGCGCAGCAGCCUACAACCAAGUCCCUAAAUGCCACUUUGGACUAAUUUAAAAGAAUCCCAGUUUUUACUUUUACUUGAUGGUAAAAUUGGUUGCUCUUGUAUUUUAUGAAAAAAAUGAUUUUUUUAACCUUCAUACAUAGAAGCAAAAUACUUUAACUGCUGUAAACCUUCAGAAGUCAGUAGACGUGAGAUCA
rnacentral:lncRNA from 1 species